UGGGGAAUUUUGGACAAUGGGGGAAACCCUGAUCCAGCCAUCCCGCGUGUGCGAUGAAGGCCUUCGGGUUGUAAAGCACUUUUGGCAGGAAAGAAACGUCAUGGGUUAAUACCCCGUGAAACUGACGGUACCUGCAGAAUAAGCACCGGCUAACUACGUGCCAGCAGCCGCGGUAAUACGUAGGGUGCAAGCGUUAAUCGGAAUUACUGGGCGUAAAGCUUGCGCAGGCGGUUCGGAAAGAAAGAUGUGAAAUCCCAGAGCUCAACUUUGGAACUGCAUUUUUAACUACCGGGCUAGAGUGUGUCAGAGGGAGGUGGAAUUCCGCGUGUAGCAGUGAAAUGCGUAGAUAUGCGGAGGAACACCGAUGGCGAAGGCAGCCUCAUGGGAUAACACUGACGCUCAUGCACGAAAGCGUGGGGAGCAAACAGG
rnacentral:rRNA from 1 species